AUUGAACGCUGGCGGCAUGCUUUACACAUGCAAGUCGAACGGCAGCGCGGGCUUCGGCCUGGCGGCGAGUGGCGAACGGGUGAGUAAUACAUCGGAACGUGCCCAGUAGUGGGGGAUAGCUCGGCGAAAGCCGGAUUAAUACCGCAUACGACCUGAGGGUGAAAGCGGGGGAUCUUCGGACCUCGCGCUAUUGGAGCGGCCGAUGGCAGAUUAGCUAGUUGGUGGGGUAAAGGCCUACCAAGGCGACGAUCUGUAGCUGGUCUGAGAGGACGACCAGCCACACUGGGACUGAGACACGGCCCAGACUCCUACGGGAGGCAGCAGUGGGGAAUUUUGGACAAUGGGCGAAAGCCUGAUCCAGCAAUGCCGCGUGUGUGAUGAAGGCAUUCGGGUUGUAAAGCACUUUUGGCGGGAACGAAAAGGACUGUGCAAAUACCACGGUUCGAUGACGGUACCCGCAGAAUAAGCACCGGCUAACUACGUG
rnacentral:rRNA from 1 species